CUUGGUAGGGUGCAAUGUGGUGUGUGGGAGAUGUCAUUCGCGCCUUGAGCUCUAGUGUCCAAGUCCCCCUGACUGGGGCCAUCGCCCAUUGAGGGUGCAAGGCCUGUUGGGCAGGGCUGAGUCUCCUGAUCUCGGCGCGUAAGACAUCUUCCUUGGAGUCGGAUUGCUUGAGAGUGCAGUCCAAAGUGGGUGGUAAACUCCACCUAAGGCUAAAUACUUUCCACGAGACCGAUAGCAAACAAGUACCGUGAGGGAAAGUUGCAAAGAACUUUGAAGAGAGAGUUCAAGAGUGCGUGAAACUGUUUGGAGGUAAACGGGUGGGAGCGCGAAGGUCGAACGGAUGGGAAGGGAUUCAACUUGGCGAGGUAGCUUACUAGGUGCUGGUGUGUCUGGGUGUGCGCAGCUUCUUUUCUUCGGGAAAGAGGUUUGUUUGCCAUCCCACACUGCUGCCUGUGUGAUGUUUGCCCUGCCUUGUGCAUUUCCCAAUUUCCCCUCUCCUAGUAGGACGCCAUGACCGGCUGUUGAUGGGAUCACAGGAGCUUAGGUUAGAGAAGCUGCGCAGACGAGUAAGGGAUUAGUUCUCUGCGUCUGGUCUGUCUGUCUCUUUCCAACUGGCUGUUGCUGAUUCUUCCGGCCGAGGAACUUUGGUAGGCGAGCUGGACCCUCGUGGUCCCUCGUCCACUAACGUGCCCUAGAUUUGACGGUGCGGGUCGACAAAACCCCACGGGUGGCGGCGGGUGGCUUUGCGCCGGUUGUAAUGAUCGUGCGUAAAGUCUCUGCGUGUCAGCUACCGUCGGUCAAGGUGCAGACUCCCGUACGGGGCACUGGGGGUCAAUGGCGAGUAGAUCGGUUUCCCACCCGACCCGUCUUGAAACACGGACCAAGAAGUCUAACGUGUGGGCGAGUCUUCGGGGCCUAACGAACCCUUAGAAGGCGAAAUAAAAGUGAAGGUUUCCAUCUUGCUCCUUCGGGAGUGAGUAGGAAGCUGUGGUGUGAUCCUCUGUUUCUUAGCAGGGGCGCAACACCGGCCCGUCCUA
rnacentral:rRNA from 1 species